GCCUGGGUGGCCCAUUCGGUUGGGCAUCCGACUUCAGCUCAGAUCACGAUCUCACGUUUUGUGGGUUCGAGCCCCGCGUCGGGCU
rnacentral:tRNA from 1 species